GACGAACGCUGGCGGCGUGCCUAAUACAUGCAAGUAGAACGCACAGUUUAUACCGUAGCUUGCUACACCAUAGACUGUGAGUUGCGAACGGGUGAGUAACGCGUAGGUAACCUGCCUGGUAGCGGGGGAUAACUAUUGGAAACGAUAGCUAAUACCGCAUAAUAUUGAUUAUUGCAUGAUAAUUGAUUGAAAGAUGCUAUUGCAUCACUACCAGAUGGACCUGCGUUGUAUUAGCUAGUAGGUGAGGUAACGGCUCACCUAGGCGACGAUACAUAGCCGACCUGAGAGGGUGAUCGGCCACACUGGGACUGAGACACGGCCCAGACUCCUACGGGAGGCAGCAGUAGGGAAUCUUCGGCAAUGGACGAAAGUCUGACCGAGCAACGCCGCGUGAGUGAAGAAGGUUUUCGGAUCGUAAAGCUCUGUUGUAAGAGAAGAACGGGUGUGAGAGUGGAAAGUUCACACUGUGACGGUAUCUUACCAGAAAGGGACGGCUACUACGUG
rnacentral:rRNA from 1 species